UGAUGUUAUUUCCAGGUUCAAAUUAAUUGCCAAUGUCAAGGACGAUAGCGGUGAGGCUAAUUUUCUGUUGUUUGAUGCUAAUGCUCAAGCAAUUGUGCGUCAUUCUGCUGCUGAACUCUAUGACGAGAAUGAAGAUGAAGACUUCUUACCUGAAGCAGUGAGCGAUCUCUUUGGU